GACGUAGGAGGCGAGCGUUGUCCGGAUUCAUUGGGCGUAAAGGGUGCGUAGGUGGCGCUGUAAGUCGGGUGUGAAAUUUCGGAGCUUAACUCCGAAACUGCAUUCGAUACUGCGGUGCUUGAGGACUGGAGAGGAGACUGGAAUUCAUGGUGUAGCAGUGAAAUGCGUAGAGAUCAUGAGGAAGACCAGUGGCGAAGGCGGGUCUCUGGACAGUUCCUGACACUGAGGCACGAAGGCCAGGGGAGCAAACGGG
rnacentral:rRNA from 1 species